GAGCCCCAGUUACGCAGCCAUAGCCAGCGCCUGGGGCCUGCGGCUCCCAUCAAACGUGUGCCGUGCUCACCUGACGCCAGCGUUGACAGGUGUCGGAGGUGUGGCACGUUUUGAGCCGUUAGAAGCACAGCCUGGCUGUUUAGGGGACUGCUUAAGAAGAGUCAAAUUGUACCACCUGGUUGUCCGCACGUUUAGAUGCUUUUACCCAAUCGGUGUGAUUGGAUUUUUAGCACUAGUCUUGCAGAAUUUAUGCAAGGGCUUCCGCGUGAGUGUAAUCUAAUUUAUCUGGUGUUAGCCACCAGGUACUUGCAUCCCAGGAGUAAGGACCAGAGAUCAGAUUUGUACUGGCAAAAAACUUCAUUAACGUUGUCAGCUGCACUUCAAAAACAAAAGUGAAUCUAUUUUUGAGUUCAGCUACAGCUUAGUUGUUUGUACAUUUUUUUUGCCUUUGCAGUGAUUAACAAUAGAGAAAUGUUCCUACAGAAAUACAAUAUUAGAACCAUCUGAGUCAGAGUUGCAGGCAGAAUAUGGUGCUGCUGUUAGUGCUCAUGAUGUGGAAGGAAAAAAUGUAUCUUUGUAUGAAUCUCUCUGCAGAUUACAGUGCCUGUUAUAUUUUUCCAUCUCUAAUUCAACUGCUAUUGAUUGAAGACUACUGGCAAUGGCCAUACAGUCAUCUGCGAUUAACUUGACUGCACCAGAGCAGUAAUAACCCUGUGGAGCUUUUAGACACCUGGAAUAAAGGUAUGCAGUGUGGCCGUGGCCAUUCAGCACUACGGCCCUUUGCUGACUAAGGGCAUUGGUGUUGUGUUGUUGAUUGAAUGCUACCUUACUCUACUUACCCCAGUAGGUAAUGGACACCGAUACACUUCAGGCUCUAUAUUUCUCCUGUCACAUAUAAUUGUGUUGUAUCAUAGAAAGGAGGGAUAUUUUGUAGCACUUGUUUAACACACAGUUAUGGAGAUUGCAUUAUACAUGUUUUCAUUUCUGAUACCAGUUAUUUGGAAUGUCAAACCAGUGGCUGGUUCAAGUAGGGCUAGUUGAGGCAUCCUGCUUGAAUUGCCAUUGCUUCAAGGAUGUCAAACCACUGUAUUCCUGCUGCCAACUCCAUUACAAUUACUACCUUAGAGGCCUGAUCCAAUGCCCAUUGAAAUCUGUGGGAAGACUACCAUUGACUUAACUCGACUGUCUGUCUUGUGUAAUUUCAGUACUUCUCCAGAAUGGUCACCUUUUUAGUGUGUUUCUCCAGCAGCUGAGAAAAUAUAGCACAGUGUAAUAAAGGAUUAUCUGGUACAGCAACAUCCUCUCCAGCUCAUUGAGGAAUAGAAGUUUAUUGAUAAACUUCACUACUUCUUGAAUGGGAGGACAGUAGCUAGGUGGCCGAGCCUGAGAGGGAGGAGAUUUUAAUGGCGAAAUAAAGGCAGUGAUACAGAGGAUUCUCCAAAUGAUUAAAAGAGGUUCUCUUGGACAGAACCUUCUCCUGGACACUGACUUCCCAAUCCUGCAAGGUGUUGAGACCUCUUCUCAUCCCCUUUUAGGGUUGGGCCUUGAAUGCCUCACAGUCCUGGAACUUAAAACAAGAAAAAAAUAUCAGAAAGGAGACAGAUCAGGUGACUGCACUGGGAUGACUUUUAGAGUAACACUAGCAGCUUAAACCCUAACUGAAAGUCUCUGAAAGAAUCCAGGGGAGAUAAAUGUCUCCAACCAGGAAUGAAACCAGGCAAAAUUCAAUGGAAAAUACAAGGAAGCCUCAAUUUUUUACCGCUUAAACUUUAGAAAACUUGGUUCUCAAGUAGUUUAUUGGACUUGCACUGUUGCAGCCAUCAUGUACAAGAUCUCCUUUGUAACUAGUACAAAAGCCAUGUAAUCAGCAGUGAGGUCCCUAUAAGUAGAAAACCCUGAAACGUAAGAACAGCAAGUUAUGCUACUACUUUCUUCUCCCUUAUAACCUCAACCCUUCAUGUUAGGUUUGUGGCUGAGGUAAGUCAGGGUAAGCCCCUGCAGAUUUUUGAGGGGGACCCAGAGACAAAUGGCUGAUAUAUACAUAUUCUCUCAUGACCGAAGGAGCUGGGAGAUGUUUGUUACUAGCUCAAGCUCUAUUUAUUUCUGGAUUUAAAAGUUUUCAUAUUGAUUUAUUGAUCCAGGAAAACUAGAGCAUAUCCUUUGUUAUGCUGCAAAAAUGAAGAAAAUCUUUUAAAAGUACUCAGUAAAUUUUGUGAUCUAAUGA